rnacentral:misc_RNA from 1 species
GAAAUGCGAUACGUAAUGCGAAUUGCAGAAUUCAGUGAAUCAUCGAAUCUUUGAACGCAAAUUGCGCUCUCGGGUUACCCCCAAGAGCACACCUCUCUGAGUGUCGGUUUAACCAAAUGUCACCAAUUUAUUGGUGUACGACAGACUGAGGGUAAGGGGUCUCGGCCUCUUUCCCUUUAAAUUCCAGCAACACGACUGUGUGUGUUCGUGGCAAGUUGCUUUCACUUAAUUGUGAAUCCAAUCCGCGAACCCUAUGUUAUGUAGCCAAAGAAACAAAUGAACAGAAAUGUGAAAUUUGAAAGGCUUGCUUGCAAUCCUUUUAGACUAACAAAUUUGUUCAUCCAUGAUUAGACCUCAGAUGAAGUGGGAAGACCCCCUGAAUUUAA